rnacentral:rRNA from 1 species
UAUGACGGUCCUAAGGUAGCGAAAUUCCUUGUCAGGUAAGUUCUGACCCGCACGAAAGGCGUAACGAUUUGGGCACUGUCUCAACGAGAGACUCGGUGAAAUUUUAGUACCUGUGAAGAUGCAGGUUACCCGCGACAGGACGGAAAGACCCCAUGGAGCUUUACUGCAGUUUGAUAUUGAGUGUCUGUACCACAUGUACAGGAUAGGUAGGAGUCUAUGAGAUCGGGACGCCAGUUUCGAAGGAGACGUUGUUGGGAUACUACCCUUGUGUUAUGGCCACUCUAACCCGGAUAGGUGAUCCCUAUCGGAGACAGUGUCUGACGGGCAGUUUGACUGGGGCGGUC